UACGAAGGGGGCUAGCGUUGCUCGGAAUUACUGGGCGUAAAGCGCACGUAGGCGGCUUUUUAAGUCGGAGGUGAAAUCCUGGAGCUCAACUCCAGAACUGCCUUCGAUACUGGAGAGCUCGAGUUCGGGAGAGGUGAGUGGAACUGCGAGUGUAGAGGUGAAAUGCGUAGAUAUUCGCAAGAACACCAGUGGCGAAGGCGAUUUCCUGGCUCGGUACUGACGCUAAGGCGCGAAAGCGUGGAGAGCAAACAGG
rnacentral:rRNA from 1 species